rnacentral:lncRNA from 1 species
UCCAUCCAUCAGCCAUGAUUGUGCAUCCUAUUUUCUUCCAUGUGGCACGAAAGCUUUCAACAUACUUUUUCACCUCAUCAACAUUCUUGGUUAACAAAUAACCACGAACAGAAUAAAAAUUUGGAGCUUUGUAACCAGGCCCCAUACUAGCUAUUGCAUCUAUCAUGCACUGAUAAUACUUAGAGUUGACAGCAUUAAAUGGCACACAUACAUCUAUCAUCC